CAUCAACCUUGUUGGGUCUUUAUGAUCUUUGUUCCAUACUUUUUCUCCUUUUUAUCCUAUGAUUGUACGAAAAAAAUUCUUUUUCUAAGAAAGCUAUAUAUCUGCAAUUUCAUUGGAGUUUGAAUUUGCUACAUUAAAGUUCCUUAUCACUUUCCUCAUUCUUGCUUAUAACUUUCAUCAUUUUUGGUGAAUGCAGCAGUAGAGAAUAUUUAGUUGCAUAAAUCACAGCCCUGGAAAAUUUUCUUAGCAAGUAAACAUAAAGUAAUUAAAAGUUCAUAAUCCAAGAAGAAGAGAUACUGAGGGAAGAUGGCAAAUACGACAGACAAGAAAAAAGAGAAAAAAGAGAAAAAUGUUCCUGGUUUAGUGGAUUUGGUGUUUUCUUGGUCUUUAAAGGAUGUGUUGAACAAAGAUCUUUACAAAGACAAGGUUUGAAUUAAUCUUACAAAGACACGAUCUUAAUUUCUUUGUGUUCAUAUGCUGACAUGCCGGAUUAACAAUUUAGACAUUGUUUGUUCUAAGUUGAGAGAUUGAGUUCUGAAAUGUAUAUCUAAUUCCAUCUUGUAUUAAAAAUAUAGGGACAAACUGUGAAUCAGUAGUUGGAUUUGCCAUUGCAUAUGCAUGCCCAAAUGUAGUUUCCUAGUAAGCCAAGCAAGUAGUGUUGGCAAAAUCUGCUCACUUAUUAUAGUUGUUAUUGAUCACAUAUGGGAUUUUCUUCA